GAUGAACGCUGGCGGCGUGCCUAAUACAUGCAAGUCGAGCGAACAGACGAGGAGCUUGCUCCUCUGACGUUAGCGGCGGACGGGUGAGUAACACGUGGAUAACCUACCUAUAAGACUGGGAUAACUUCGGGAAACCGGAGCUAAUACCGGAUAAUAUAUUGAACCGCAUGGUUCAAUAGUGAAAGACGGUUUUGCUGUCACUUAUAGAUGGAUCCGCGCCGCAUUAGCUAGUUGGUAAGGUAACGGCUUACCAAGGCAACGAUGCGUAGCCGACCUGAGAGGAUGAGCGGCCACACUGGAACUGAGACACGGUCCAGACUCCUACGAGAGGCAGCAGUAGGGAAUCUUCCGCAAUGGGCGAAAGCCUAACGGAGCAACGCCACGUGAGUGAUGAAGGUCUUCGGAUCGUAAAACUCUGUUAUUAGGGAAGAACAAAUGUGUAAGUAACUAUGCACGUCUUGACGGUACCUAAUCAGAAAGCCACGGCUAACUACGUG
rnacentral:rRNA from 1 species